rnacentral:rRNA from 1 species
UAGGGAAUCUUCCGCAAUGGACGCAAGUCUGACGGAGCAACGCCGCGUGAGUGAAGAAGGAUUUCGGUUUGUAAAACUCUGUCGUUAGAGAAGAACAGCGCAUAGAGUAACUGUUAUGCGUGUGACGGUAUCUAACCAGAAAGCCACGUCUAACUACGUGCCAGCAGCCGCGGUAAUACGUAGGUGGCAAGCGUUGUCCGGAUUUAUUGGGCGUAAAGCGAGCGCAGGCGGUCAAUUAAGUCUGAUGUGAAAGCCCCCGGCUCAACCGGGGAGGGUCAUUGGAAACUGGUUGACUUGAGUGCAAAAGAGGAGAGUGGAAUUCCAUGUGUAGCGGUGGAAUGCGUAGAUAUAUGGAGGAACACCAGUGGCGAAGGCGACUCUCUGGUCUGUAACUGACGCUGAGGCUCGAAAGCGUAGGUAGCAAACAGG